rnacentral:rRNA from 1 species
UACGAAGGGAGCUAGCGUUGUUCGGAAUUACUGGGCGUAAAGCGUGCGCAGGCGGUUCGGAAAGAGAGGUGUGAAAUCCCAGGGCUUAACCUUGGAACUGCACUUCUAACUACCGGGCUAGAGUACGUCAGAGGGGGGUAGAAUUCCACGUGUAGCAGUGAAAUGCGUAGAGAUGUGGAGGAAUACCGAUGGCGAAGGCAGCCCCCUGGGAUGAUACUGACGCUCAUGCACGAAAGCGUGGGGAGCAAACAGG